UGUCCGACUGCAGUGAAUGCAGCACGAGAUGAUGCCAGAGCGGCAAGAGCCUGAUUUGUUUGGAAAACUGAGUGGCGCAAAGCGAGGGAGCCAGGAGUCGUGAGGAAAGGAGACACAGGAGGAAAGAGGUCAAAACAGAUUAACUAUCUAUCAAGAAAUGAAAUUAUAACGAAAGAACAGUGCUAGCAUAGUUGCGAUGCUGAUUUUGAGAUGAUAAAAAUCAGGUUGAAGAACAUUAUUUUGCUAACUAUACAUAUAAUGUUAGUUAGGUCUGACGUUUGUUCUGUGUAAAGUCGGCUACAAAAGCUAAUACUGAUUCAACGUCUGUCAAGGAAAACAUUGUAAAAUUACUUUUAAUCUUAUAGAAAUGAAGAGGAAAGGUAGCAUAUGUAGUUUUUUCUCACCAAAGAGAAAGGCGAGAGAAAUAGAAAAUGAACAACUGAGCAAGGUAGACUGAGAAGAUGAGGUGGAAGGAGAGAGAAAAGAGGUGGAAGGAGAGAGAGAAGAGGAGGAGGGAGAAAGUGAGAGACAAGAUACCGUGCAGGGCUCAGACAGUGAAAGGGAAAGCAGAGUGCCUGGGCCAUCACCAACGAGCUCCAGUC